ensembl:lncRNA
CUUGUCUGGAACCCUACACCCCACACCCAAAGCCUUGUCUGGAACCCUCCACCCCACACCCAAAGCCUUGUCUGGAACCCGAACCCUCCACCCCACACCCAAAGCUCUCUCUCCCUCCUGUUGAUCUGUCCAAGACAUUCAGGUGAAUGUAUUUGUGUUGACAUUUAUGCAACGUGUGUUUAAAAAAAAAAGAAAUCCUGUACUUUUGUCUGGGAUUGAGUUUUUGAAAUGCUUUUUCUCGUCAUUCUUUCAAGCUAAUGCAAUGUAGUUAUACUGAAAGCCUGUAUCUUUGCAAAAAAAAAUGUAUAAUAACCAUUCAAAUAAGAUGUUUGUCAAUACAGUAUAUAUCACUCUUGUAUAAAUGUUUUUACGAAAUAUAUAUGAAUAUAAAUAUAUUUGUACGUCAUCCCUCAGUGACAUAAAGCUCUUAGUGUGUACAGUGUAUCCCCAUUACUGCUCGUGACCAUUAUCUUCAAGACCUGUACUUAAUGAAAUGAAAAAUGUUGUUGGGGAUUUGGACUUGGUGCUGUUUGCGUACUCUUUGAGCAUACUCAAAAAGCCCCUCUACAGACAACAGUCAUUUAGUGUGCAUACUCUUUGAGCAUACUCAAAAAGCCCCUCUACAGACAACAGUCAUUUAGUGUGCAUACUCAAAAAGCCCCUCUGCAGACAAGUCAUUUAGUGUGCAUACUCUUUGAGCAUACUCAAAAACAGUCAUUUGCCAGACCAGGCACUCGUACCCUGUGCCAGUAGGCCAGGCCCUUAAUCUCAGUCAUUUCAGCUUGGACAUUUCCUGUGAUGGCAGUGGUCCUCUCGUGCAUUUCAAAUGCAGUUAAACUCAAAGAGUGCCAGCAGGUCAGCCCCAUCUCGACAGAGGUCAAAGGUCAGGCGAGUUCACACAUUUAGUGUUUAUUCCUCGUCGUUUUCUCAUCAAGCGUCAUAUUUCACCUUCUCGUUGACUGAAGAGCUUAGACUGACAGGCUGCUGGAAGCGUGUGCUGGAUGCGUGUGCGAGGCUGCUGGAAGCGUGUGCGUGUGGUGGAUGCGUGUGCGAGGCUGCUGGAAGCCUGUGAGAGGCUGCUGGAUGCGGUGUGUGUCCGUGACUGAGAUGCGAUGCGUGUUGCGUGUCCACGACUGAGAUGCAUUCUGUAUUUCCUUCCUGAGUGCAGCUGGCCAGACAGAGAGAAUGUGCAUGUUGAUGCCGUGUGUGUGUGUGUGUGUGUGUGUGUGUGUGUGUGUGUGUGUGUUGAUGCCGUGUGUUCUCCGUGACCUUCCGCUCUUUUCUGCAUUUUUACUGACUGCCUCGAGUCGAGUGUGGACUGACUGACUGACUGACUGACUGACUGACUGACUGACUGACUGACUGACUGACUGACUGACUGACUGACUGACUGUGUGUGUGACUGACUGACUGACUGACUGACUGACUGACUCUAUUGCUGACUGCAGUAAUUGGCAGCAGUCAGUGUUUGUUGCAGUUGGACUCCAGGACUGAUUCUUGUCAGUGAAACUCCAAAUAUGAAGAGCUUUGUGCAGGUUAGCUGUGUAGCUGAUGGCGGAUGUUGUGGCAGCUCAGUAUUCACUGAAGUUGAGUUGCGUUUGUUUCAACUCAUCCUUGCUUUUCCCACCUUUUCCUUUUUUAUGUUGGACAGAACCUAAAGUAGUAUUUUGAGAUCUUAUUUCUAUUUGUUCAUUUAUGAACUCAGAGACACUAAAGUGUAAAGUUAAUGCAUAAUAAAGAUGUUUUUUUGGCUUGUUUUGCACACUUUGAUGUUACCGUAGGCACAGUGUGUGGUGUGUGUGUGUAGUUUUUCCCCGGCGGAGUUGUUGUGAACGGAUGGCAAAGUUAAGUGGACUGGAUGGUGUUGGUGUGUAUUCCAGUGGGAUAUGUCACAUGGGCGGUCUUUGAGUCACUAACGGUGGUGUGUCAACUUGAGUCAGAGAAAUUGUUGGAUUGCGUAAGAAUAGACUGUGUGUGUGUGUGUGUGUGUGUGUGUGCUGUCAUUCCACCUAGCAAAUGGGUGCUCCCACAGGGCCAACAAUGCCGAGCCACAUUCUCUCCACAUUUUUUAUAGUUUCUUAUAAACCAUUUCUGCAACCAGUCAUUUAGAUGUUUUUUCCGUUGUAAUUGAAUCCCCCAGUCACACACUCCCAGUCAUUGAGAUGCAGGCAUUGUUUGGUAGAAUGUUCCAUUGUUUAGAGUUAUGAAACCGGCAUCUGAGACACGGAGACGGAGACGGAGACAAAAGGGGGAGGGAAAGCAGAGAUGUGCAGAAAUCUGUUUCCCAAAAAAACCGCAGCUUCAGCCUCUCCUGAAGUCUGUGGAGACCGACCGAGACGGGGAUUUGAAACAGGUUUGAACAAGUUCACGGCUCAAUGAGGUACAGCCUAGGUGGUAUUUAUCCCCCCCCCACGUGACUAAAAGUCCACACCUGGAUUAGAACAUCACCAUGGUUGCCAAAAAAAGACUCAACUAACACUGACAACAGUAAUGUGGUUCUUUUUUUUUUUUUGGUUUCUCUGACAUUUUAUUGUUGUUGUUGUGUUCAUCUCCCUAAAUGGAGCCCCAGUUUCUCCACCAACCCUCCUCAGUAGUCUUGACAUCACCAAAUUGAGAGAUGUUGACGAGAGAAGAAUUGGCUUUGCACACUCGAGCAAGCCUCAGGACAAGGGUUCUGCAGGCCCGUUCAAUGGCACCAAAGCUGUUUUGGACCCAAUCUCUCUUUGCCUUUUAUCCGUAAAAAAAAUGUAUGUCUGACCGUGGACUACUGGUGUCUUGUCGAGUAGUAGAAAAAGAAGUCCAUGAUUUAAAGUACUGUGCAUAGAAUCUUUUACUUUUCUGUUCAACACAAUAAGCUGAUUUGUUACUUCGACUGUAUUUUUGUGAAAUAAAAGGUAUUUUA